AUGAAGCAGCAGUGGGGUGAGCAGAAGAAGACUUCUCAUUCAACCCUGGAAAAAAAAUCUAAAUAAAUUGCAAAAAUGUGACUUGUAACAAGGACUGGACAUCAAAGUGUGAAUGUUGUACCCGGGACACGUGCUCUAGUCGUUGGACCUAUUAAGCGACGGACACAUUGAUCCAGACAAGCCGCAACACUGGUAGACAUCCCAGCUUGUAAGCUUCAUCAUGAAACUUCGUCAAGCAUGUGAGGCAAGGGGAGCAGUGAGCAGCAGCGGUGGCCGCGCCCGGGAAUCAUUUUUGGUGAUUUAACCCCCAAUUCCAACCCUUGAUGCUGAGUGCCAAGCAGGGAGUGAUUGAGGGUAGGCACAAGGGAGAUCCAGGGACAGGCAGGAGGUCGAGGGCAGGCGGCAAGCAACAACGUCCAAGUCCAAACGAGUGAUCGAGGAUCGAGGGAGGCAGUCCAAUUUCCGGGUGAAGGUCGAGGUGCAGCGCUCGAACACACGGAACAAGGCGGGCACUGCAAGGAGAACAAGGGACAUCAGUCAACAAGACAAAAAGGGGCAAAAGACCAGGGCGAGGACCACAAGAGGGAAGCCAGAGACGUAAUGCUUACUACAGGAGUUAACGACAUUCCGGCGUAGGUCCCAAGGAGUGACUGGUUCUUUUGCUGUCUUCCUGAUUACUGCCAGGUGUGCUGAUGACUAACCGCCUGCAGCUGCGGCGAAGCGUGGGCGUGAUGCACUCGGCGCGUGCGGGGGCGUGUCCUGGCAUGCUGCAGGAGAAACUUGGGUUCGAAUCCGCGCCGCAACAGAAACAAGCACUUAAGCAGCACUCAAAAGAUGCCUGAUAGAAAACACUUAAAUGUAUAGUAAGACUCCACUUAUCCAACAUGUGCUGGCUUGAUGCUAAUUGAAUUUGCCAUAUUCAUGCUACUGAUUAGUAUUAGCGAUUUUACAUGGCGAUUUCAACAACCUUUUACAUUUGCUAAAGAAAACUUCAACUAAGAUGCACAUUACAAUCAAACAGCAAAUGUGUAAUAAGUACAAUACUUGCAGUACAAACACUUUGUAGGGUACAACAUAAUACCUGACUGACACAUUCAACUUAAUGGCAAAGACUACUUCUCAUCUCGACAAAUAUAGCCUAUACCCUGAAGUCAUCUAAUUGCAAUUGUAUGCAAAAUCCAUGAUAUAAUACUUGCAAAUGAGACUCAGAAAAAUAAUAAGAAAACAAGAUAGAAAAAUUGUACAGCACAGUUAAUAUUAUCAGCUAGUUUUUAAAUGUAACAAUACAAAAUUAAAUGUUAUCAAUAAACAAUUAACGUUCAUGAGCACACACAGUAGCACAGACAAACAUUUCCUGAAAAGCAUUGAAUCUGACUUACAUUUGAGGGAGGUCAAAAUAAAAACUUUUGGAAGUAACGUGCAGUACCAGAGUCCAACAGAGAGGCAGCAGCUAUGUAAAGUAGCAUACAUGCUGUGUGCCUCCACAUUCCCUAAAUAAGAUGCCCUUCAGCAGCCUGCCUAAAACAUGAAUAUUUUUUUCCAACAAAAAGUGCCGUGACAGAUUGACAACACCAGCUGCGUACGGCCAAGGGUCAGGUUUUUGGGUUUGCUGAACCUUAGAUUACUAGCAGUAUAGUUCUGGUACAAAGAAAGUGAAUGAUACCAAGAUGAUGUUGCGUACGUUGUUGCAUUGGAGGGCAUGGGAAAGUCUUCAAGGUGGGCCGAAUUUGAAAGUCGAGAGGCCUAAUAUUUUUUUUCAUGAAGCACAUGCUUAAAAAAAAUCUAUCACUCUUCUGGACUAAGCCCCGAAUCUUCUUCAAUUCUAAAUCUGCCCCUGUAUUGAACAACGUGUCUCCCAUGUAUUUGUAUUAUUCCAAUUCAGUCUAAGGACCUGAUCUACUAAGAUAAAAAAAAUACCAAGUCCUAAACAGAUUGUGAGUACUAUAAAAUGUGUGUACUAUUAAUGGGUGUGUUGCGGGUGAUCUACUAAGACUGUGUGUACAAUUGAUAACAAGUGCAAAAGUGGUGCAGAACACCUUAUUUUAAUGAGGUUUUUGCACAU